rnacentral:snRNA from 1 species
CAGUGUUACAGCUCUUUUAGACUUGUCUGGCAAGUCUUCUAGUCACUACCAGAAGCUCCC